GAUGAAGAACGUAGCGAAAUGCGAUACGUAAUGUGAAUUGCAGAUUUCAGUGAAUCAUCGAAUCUUUGAACGCACAUUGCGCCCGCUAGUAUUCUGGCGGGCAUGCCUGUUCGAGCGUCAUUUCAACCAUCAAGCCCUAGGCUUGCGUUGGAGCCCUGCGGCUGCCGCAGGCUUCCAAAUCCAGUGGCGGGCUCGUCGUCGUACCGAGUGCAGUAAACAUCCUCGCUCAGGGAACGUGACGGGUUCUUGCCGUGAAACCCCCCACAUAUCAAGGUUGACCUCGGAUCAGGUAGGAAUACCCGCUGAACUUAAGCAUAUCAAUAAGCGGAGGA
rnacentral:misc_RNA from 1 species